rnacentral:rRNA from 1 species
GGCGUGCUUAACACAUGCAAGUCGAACGAUGAAGAGCAGCUUGCUGCUUGGAUUAGUGGCGCACGGGUGAGUAAUAUAUAGGUAAUGUGCCUCUUAGUCUGGGAUAGCCAUUGGAAACGAUGAUUAAUACUGGAUACUCCUUCUAACUCUAAUGUUAGUCGGGAAAGUUUUUCGCUAAGAGAUCAGCCUAUAUCCCAUCAGUUAGUUGGUAAGGUAACGGCUUACCAAGGCAAUGACGGGUAGCGGGUUUGAGAGGAUGAUCCGCCACACUGGUACUGAGACACGGACCAGACUCCUACGGGAGGCAGCAGUGAGGAAUAUUGCACAAUGGGGGAAACCCUGAUGCAGCAACGCCGCGUGGAGGAUGACGCAUUUCGGUGUGUAAACUCCUUUUAUAUGUCAAGAAAAUGACGGUAGCAUAUGAAUAAGCACCGGCUAACUCCGUGCCAGCAGCCGCGGUAAUACGGAGGGUGCAAGCGUUACUCGGAAUCACUGGGCGUAAAGGACGCGUAGGCGGAUUGGAAAGUCAGAUGUGAAAUCCUACAGCUUAACUGUAGAACUGCAUUUGAAACUUCUAAUCUAGAGUAUGGGAGGGGGAGAUGGAAUUAGUGGUGUAGGGGUAAAAUCCGUAGAUAUCACUAGGAAUACCGAAAGCGAAGGCGAUCUCCUGGAACAUUACUGACGCUAAGGCGUGAAAGCGUGGGGAGCAAACAGGAUUAGAUACCCUGGUAGUCCACGCCCUAAACGAUGAACACUAGUCGUCGGGAUGCUUGUCAUCUCGGUGAUGCACUUAACAGAUUAAGUGUUCCGCCUGGGGAGUACGGU